AAUGUUGGCUGUGUUAUUUCCAGUUGUCUUACAAAGUAUUUCCUUUCUAUUUCUACAACAUGUUACUUCAGAGUAAGCACUUGAGAAUGACUCCACCAAACUGCAUCCUGACUCCACUGGGCCAUACUAUGGCGGCCUGGGAUGUACAAUUUUUGAAGAGCAGCUGUUUUUCUCAUCUUCACGUUUUAAAAAGUGUUGACUCAUUUUGUUUCGCAGCCUGGAUAUGUGAGGAGGAAAACACUGUGAGCCUCCUGUCUGUACAUAAACUGUACCAUUCAUAACUCACACUCUCCUUAGAAGAAGAGAAGCCAUUGCUAUUAUGGUCAGAGGUCAACAUAAGUAAAGAUAUCAAAUUCUCUGUGUGGGUAAAUAUUAGUUGUUAAAGAUGUUUAACAUGUUUAAAGAUAUUAAACUGUGUUUCACAUAGUACCCCAUACAUAUGUGGAUUUUAUUACAUCAAGUAAAAUGCUUGCAAAGGAAAGCAAUAGAAUGGAGUCACCUAUGUGGGCACAAGAGCCCAUCUACCUUUUGGUUAAUGUAGAAAGAUAGUGACUCUUGAUGCCAUCUUUUAGACAGUUGUGCUGUGUUAACCUAAGAUGGUGGUCACAGUUACAGAAUGAAACAGACGUAGCCCUGUUAACUCAUGCCUCCAAGGUAGGAAGCUACUCAAGAACAUGUACUGGAUUGCUCACUUGCUAUAAAGUGGAUCCAAUCUUAGAUGGACCAGCCCACUUCAACCCUCUUUAAAAAUGCCUUGUAUAUGGGGCGGUGGUGGCACACGCCUUUAAUCCCAGCACUUGGGAGGCAGAGGCAGGCAGAUCUCUGUGAAUUUGUGACCAGCCUGGUCUACAAGACCUAGUUCCAGGACAGCCUCCAAAGCCAAAGAAAAACCCUGUCUUGAAAAACUAAAAAAAAAAAAAAAAAAAAAAAAAAAAAAAAAAAAAGCUAUGACUGCCUUAAUUGCAUCCGGUGGCUCUUGUAAUUAAACUAUUUCCUGAAGUUUAACAAAAUCAUAAUUAUUUUUCUUCUACUUUCCCCUGUCAUAUGGCUUGGAAAGACAAUGAUAUUUCUAUAUCCUUUCACAGUAAGUAUCGGUUCCACUGAAUCACUAGAGUUGUGACCUUGAGCCGAAACAGUAUGUUUUAUGAAAGCAGUCAGGAAAUGCUAACAGAGCACAUAAAAUAUCCUAUAGUUUAUUGUUCUGUUUUCAGAUGGCCACGUUACUCUCAGUCUGGCAGCCUAAGGAGUAGAGGUGCUGGGUUUGAAUUGCAUUGAAAGAAU
rnacentral:lncRNA from 1 species